rnacentral:rRNA from 1 species
UUUUAUGAGAGUUUGAUCCUGGCUCAGGACGAACGCUGGCGGCGUGCCUAAUACAUGCAAGUCGAACGCUUCUUUUUCCACCGGAGCUUGCUCCACCGGAAAAAGAAGAGUGGCGAACGGGUGAGUAACACGUGGGUAACCUGCCCAUCAGAAGGGGAUAACACUUGGAAACAGGUGCUAAUACCGUAUAACAAUCGAAACCGCAUGGUUUUGAUUUGAAAGGCGCUUUCGGGUGUCGCUGAUGGAUGGACCCGCGGUGCAUUAGCUAGUUGGUGAGGUAACGGCUCACCAAGGCCACGAUGCAUAGCCGACCUGAGAGGGUGAUCGGCCACAUU